CCUACGGGUGGCAGCAGUCGAGAAUUUUUCUCAAUGGGGGCAACCCUGAAGGAGCGACGCCGCGUGAAGGAUGAAGGUCUUCGGAUUGUAAACUUCUGUCAUUGGUGAACAAGGCCCACGCAGUAACUGGUGUUGGGAUUGAUAGUAGCCGAAGAGGAAGAGACGGCUAACUCUGUGCCAGCAGCCGCGGUAAUACAGAGGUCUCAAGCGUUGUUCGGAUUCAUUGGGCGUAAAGGGUGCGUAGGUGGCGAGGUAAGUCUGGUGUGAAAUCCCGGGGCUCAACCCCGGAACUGCACUGGAUACUGCCCUGCUAGAGUACUGGAGAGGAGAUUGGAAUUUACGGUGUAGCAGUGAAAUGCGUAGAUAUCGUAAGGAAGACCAGUGGCGAAGGCGAAUCUCUGGACAGUUACUGACACUGAGGCACGAAGGCCAGGGGAGC
rnacentral:rRNA from 1 species